ACGGCUCAGUAACACGUGGUCAACAUACCCAGAGGACGUGGAUAACCUCGGGAAACUGAGGAUAAACCGCGAUAGACCAUAAUGUCUGGAAUGAUUUAUGGUUCAAAUCUAUAUGGCCUCUGGAUUGGACUGCGGCCGAUCAGGCUGUUGGUGAGGUAAUGGCCCACCAAACCUGAAACCGGUACGGGCUCUGAGAGGAGAAGCCCGGAGAUGGGCACUGAGACAAGGGCCCAGGCCCUAUGGGGCGCAGCAGGCGCGAAACCUUUGCAAUAGGCGAAAGCCUGACAAGGUUACUCUGAGUGAUCUCCGCUAAGGAAAUCUUUUGACACCUCUAAAAAUGGUGUAGAAUAAGGGGUGGGCAAGCCUGGUGUCAGCCGCCGCGGUAAUACCAGCACCCCGAGUGGUCGGGACGAUUAUUGGGCCUAAAGCAUCCGUAGCCGGUUCUUUAAGUUCUCCGUUAAAUCCACCUGCUUAACAGAUGGGCUGCGGAGGAUACUAUAGAGCUAGGAGGCGGGAGAGGCAAGCGGUACUCAGUGGGUAGGGGUAAAAUCCGUUGAUCCAUUGAGGACCACCAGUGGCGAAGGCGGCUUGCCAGAACGCGCUCGACGGUGAGGGAUGAAAGCUGGGGGAGCAAACCGGAUUAGAUACCCGGGUAGUCCCAGCUGUAAACGAUGCAGACUCGGUGAUGAACAGGCUUCGUGCCUGUUCAGUGCCGCAGGGAAGCCGUUAAGUCUGCCGCCUGGGGGAGUACGGUCGCAAGACUGAAACUUAAAGGAAUUGGCGGGGGAG
rnacentral:rRNA from 1 species